rnacentral:rRNA from 1 species
GCGUGCCUACMCCUGCAAGUCGAGCGAUGAAGCUUCCUUCGGGAAGUGGAUUAGCGGCGGACGGGUGAGUAACACGUGGGUAACCUGCCUCAAAGAAGGGGAUAGCCCUCCGAAAGGAGGAGUAAUACCGUAUAACAUACUUUAAUCGCAUGAUUGAAGUAUCAAAGAUUUAUCGCUUUGAGAUGGACCCGCGUCGCAUUAGCUAGUUGGUAAGGUAAUGGCUUACCAAGGCGACGAUGCGUAGCCGACCUGAGAGGGUGAUCGGCCACAUUGGGACUGAGACACGGCCCAGACUCCUACGGGAGGCAGCAGUGGGGAAUAUUGCGCAAUGGGGGAAACCCUGACGCAGCAACGCCGCGUGGGUGAUGAAGGUUUUCGGAUUGUAAAGCCCUGUUCUAUGGGACGAUAAUGACGGUACCAUAGGAGAAAGCCACGGCUAACUACGUGCCAGCAGCCGCGGUAAUACGUAGGUGGCAAGCGUUGUCCGGAAUUACUGGGCGUAAAGAGUGCGUAGGCG